rnacentral:rRNA from 1 species
UAGCUUGCUAAUAAUUCUCUAGUGGCGCACGGGUGAGUAACACGUGAGUAACCUGCCCCCAAGAGUGGGAUAGCCCCGGGAAACUGGGAUUAAUACCGCAUAAAAUCGCAAGAUUAAAGCAGCAAUGCGCUUGGGGAUGGGCUCGCGUCCUAUUAGUUAGUUGGUGAGGUAACGGCUCACCAAGGCGAUGACGGGUAGCCGGUCUGAGAGGAUGUCCGGCCACACUGGAACUGAGACACGGUCCAGACACCUACGGGUGGCAGCAGUCGAGAAUCAUUCACAAUGGGGGAAACCCUGAUGGUGCGACGCCGCGUGGGGGAAUGAAGGUCUUCGGAUUGUAAACCCCUGUCAUGUGGGAGCAAAUUAAAAAGAUAGUACCACAAGAGGAAGAGACGGCUAACUCUGUGCCAGCAGCCGCGGUAAUACAGAGGUCUCAAGCGUUGUUCGGAAUCACUGGGCGUAAAGCGUGCGUAGGCGGUUUCGUAAGUCGUGUGUGAAAGGCGGGGGCUCAACCCCCGGACUGCACAUGAUACUGCGAGACUAGAGUAAUGGAGGGGGAACCGGAAUUCUCGGUGUAGCAGUGAAAUGCGUAGAUAUCGAGAGGAACACUCGUGGCGAAGGCGGGUUCCUGGACAUUAACUGACG